rnacentral:rRNA from 1 species
AUCGAACGCUGGCGGCAGGCCUAACACAUGCAAGUCGAGCGAGCGGCGGACGGGUGAGUAAUGUAUGGGGACUGCCCGACAGCGGGGGAUAACUACUGGAAAAGGUAGCUAAUACCACAUCCUAUCUGAUAACCCAUAUUGGAUUAGCUAGUGGGUGAGGUAAUGGCUCACAAAGGCGACGAGCCCUAGCUGGUCUGAGAGGAUGAUCAGCAACACUGGGACGGAGACACGGCCCAGACUCCGACGGAGGCAGCAGGGGGGAAUAUUGCACAAUGGGGGCAAGCCGGAUGCAGCCAGGCCGCGUGUAUGAAGAAGGCCUUCGGGUUGUAAAGUACUUUCAGUCGGGAGGCGGUACCGAAAGAGAAAGCACCGGCUAACUCCGUGCCAGCAGCCGCGGUAAUAC